CAAUAGCGUAUAUUAAAGUUGUUGUGGUUAAAAAGCUCGUAGUUGAACCUUGGGCCUGGCCGUCCGGUCCGCCUCACCGCGUGUACUGGCUCGGCCGGGCCUUUCCCUCUGUGGAACCCCAUGCCCUUCACUGGGCGUGGCGGGGAAACAGGACUUUUACUGUGAAAAAAUUAGAGUGCUCCAGGCAGGCCUAUGCUCGAAUACAUUAGCAUGGAAUAAUAGAAUAGGACGUGUGGUUCUAUUUUGUUGGUUUCUAGGACCGCCGUAAUGAUUAAUAGGGACAGUCGGGGGCAUCAGUAUCCAAUUGUCAGAGGUGAAAUUCUUGGAUUUAUUGAAGACUAACUACUGCGAAAGCAUUUGCCAAGGAUGUUUUCAUUAA
rnacentral:rRNA from 1 species